rnacentral:rRNA from 1 species
AAAUUGAAGAGUUUGAUCAUGGCUCAGAUUGAACGCUGGCGGCAGGCCUAACACAUGCAAGUCGAACGGUAACAGGAAGCAGCUUGCUGCUUUGCUGACGAGUGGCGGACGGGUGAGUAAUGUCUGGGAAACUGCCUGAUGGAGGGGGAUAACUACUGGAAACGGUGGCUAAUACCGCAUAACGUCGCAAGACCAAAGAGGGGGACCUUCGGGCCUCUUGCCAUCAGAUGUGCCCAGAUGGGAUUAGCUUGUUGGUGAGGUAACGGCUCACCAAGGCGACGAUCCCUAGCUGGUCUGAGAGGAUGACCAGCCACACUGGAACUGAGACACGGUCCAGACUCCUACGGGAGGCAGCAGUGGGGAAUAUUGCACAAUGGGCGCAAGCCUGAUGCAGCCAUGCCGCGUGUAUGAAGAAGGCCUUCGGGUUGUAAAGUACUUUCAGCGGGGAGGAAGGUGUUGUGGUUAAUAACCGCAGCAAUUGACGUUACCCGCAGAAGAAGCACCGGCUAACUCCGUGCCAGCAGCCGCGGUAAUACGGAGGGUGCAAGCGUUAAUCGGAAUUACUGGGCGUAAAGCGCACGCAGGCGGUCUGUCAAGUCGGAUGUGAAAUCCCCGGGCUCAACCUGGGAACUGCAUUCGAAACUGGCAGGCUUGAGUCUUGUAGAGGGGGGUAGAAUUCCAGGUGUAGCGGUGAAAUGCGUAGAGAUCUGGAGGAAUACCGGUGGCGAAGGCGGCCCCCUGGACAAAGACUGACGCUCAGGUGCGAAAGCGUGGGGAGCAAACAGGAUUAGAUACCCUGGUAGUCCACGCCGUAAACGAUGUCUACUUGGAGGUUGUGCCCUUGAGGCGUGGCUUCCGGAGCUAACGCGUUAAGUAGACCGCCUGGGGAGUACGGCCGCAAGGUUAAAACUCAAAUGAAUUGACGGGGGCCCGCACAAGCGGUGGAGCAUGUGGUUUAAUUCGAUGCAACGCGAAGAACCUUACCUGGUCUUGACAUCCACAGAACUUUCCAGAGAUGGAUUGGUGCCUUCGGGAACUGUGAGACAGGUGCUGCAUGGCUGUCGUCAGCUCGUGUUGUGAAAUGUUGGGUUAAGUCCCGCAACGAGCGCAACCCUUAUCCUUUGUUGCCAGCGAUUAGGUCGGGAACUCAAAGGAGACUGCCAGUGAUAAACUGGAGGAAGGUGGGGAUGACGUCAAGUCAUCAUGGCCCUUACGACCAGGGCUACACACGUGCUACAAUGGCGCAUACAAAGAGAAGCGACCUCGCGAGAGCAAGCGGACCUCAUAAAGUGCGUCGUAGUCCGGAUUGGAGUCUGCAACUCGACUCCAUGAAGUCGGAAUCGCUAGUAAUCGUGGAAUCAGAAUGCCACGGUGAAUACGUUCCCGGGCCUUGUACACACCGCCCGUCACACCAUGGGAGUGGGGUUGCAAAAGAAGUAGGUAGCUUAACCUUCGGGAGGGCGCUUACCACUUUGUGAUUCAUGACUGGGGUGAAGUCGUAACAAGGUAACCGUAGGGGAACCUGCGGUUGGAUCACCUCCUUACCUUAAAGAA